GUGGGGAAUCUUAGACAAUGGGGGCAACCCUGAUCUAGCCAUGCCGCGUGAGUGAUGAAGGCCUUAGGGUCGUAAAGCUCUUUCGCUGGGGAAGAUAAUGACGGUACCCAGUAAAGAAACCCCGGCUAACUCCGUGCCAGCAGCCGCGGUAAUACGGAGGGGGGUAGCGUUGUUCGGAAUUACUGGGCGUAAAGCGCACGUAGGCGGAUCGUUAAGUCGGGGGUGAAAUCCCGGGGCUCAACCCCGGAACUGCCUUCGAUACUGGAGAUCUAGAGUUCGAGAGAGGUGAGUGGAAUUCCGAGUGUAGAGGUGAAAUUCGUAGAUAUUCGGAGGAACACCAGUGGCGAAGGCGGCUCACUGGCUCGAUACUGACGCUGAGGUGCGAAAGCGUGGGGAGCAAACAGGAUUAGAAACCCUUGUAGUCC
rnacentral:rRNA from 1 species